rnacentral:piRNA from 1 species
UGCCUCUGCUGACCAAUUCUAAACCACA